AAACGAAAAAACUACAACUAUUAAAAAUCACAACUAAGAAUUAUCAAAUUAAAUAUAUAUAGUAUUUGAUUAUUUCAAGCUUACAAUACUAUUCCAUAUGAAAGAAAUCUGUUUUUUAUAUACACAUUUUUGUUUAUUGCAAACCUACACCAUACCUUCUUUUUUAAUAUAACAACAGUAUGAGAAAAAAACAAAACCAUGUUAAAAAAUAUUGUAGUUUGACAAAAUUACAAACUUUUUUGAUAAAAUGUUAAAAUUUAUUACCAAUUUUAAGAUUUUUGAUAGAAGAACAGGGACGACACAAGAAGUAGAGCAAUUAAAAAAAAACUAAACAAAAACUCAAACUUAACUACACAGAGACUGACUACUAGUACAACAUCUAAUAAGCUAAGCAUACAUCUAAAUUGGAACACUUGUUUACCGCAAAAUCGAACCCGCAUUGAUAACGAAAACUGAGCCCGGUAGAACAAAAUUACAAAUUUCAUCAAAGUGAACAAAUCUUAGAAAAAAAAAGAAAACCAUUAAAUUUCAUUAAUUGGUUGUUAGCUGACUGAAAAUCUAAAACAAAACCUGAUUUAUGACUAGUUGACAUUUGAGAUGAAUCUAUAUAACAUGAUAUGACUCAAGAUUUAUGAGAAUGUAUGAACUUUGGCCUAUAAACAUUCUAGUGAUCAAGCAUAUUUGAGUCGUUUAAAUUUUG
rnacentral:lncRNA from 1 species